rnacentral:lncRNA from 1 species
UUUCUUUACCUGGAACUUGCUCUGUUCCAGAAUCGCCUUGAAGGCAUAGGUCUGUUUGCUUACUCUGUCUCCUGGGAUUAAAAGUAUGUACCAUCAUGACUGGGUCUAAGCUAUUCAUGCCCACUGUUCCUCAAGAGGACCAUCCAAUGGCUGUGACACUUGUAGGAAUAAAAUCUCAGGACCCCAGGCCUGCAGCAUUGAACAGCACCACCUCCUGCCACUCUCAGCCACUCCUGCUUUGCCAUCUCUCUAAGGGAGUUCUUUGAUUUUCAUUAACAACUCUGCCACCAUCCCAUUCAUAAUUCAAUCAAAACUCCUGGGAUGGCAGCUGUCAUAGUGGUGUCAUCUCCAGCUCUCUCCCUGUCUCUACCUCUCUCUCAAGUGCUGGAGCUUAUGACCACUUGUUUCAAUGUUCUCACUGAACCUGGAGUGUACGAGAAAGUGCAGGCAUGACCUAGUGGCCAGCCUUCCUGGCACGCUAUACUUCUAACUAAGAAGCAUGGCACCCCAUGCUACUGAGUAUUCCCAGAAGCCUCAACUCUGAAUUCUGUAGUAAUGGAAAAUGUUGACCAUGAGAUACACAUUUUUGUUUGUCACAAGCAUCCUAUUGUCAUGUUCUCUCUUGUCACAAGCCCAGGUGACUCUUGAUCCAAACCUCUCAAAACCUGAAGACGCUACCUUGAGUACACUCAAUUACUGGAAGACAUCUAUAUUAAAUUGAUAACUAUAGGUAAUGCAAGUAAACAACUCAUUUAAAAGUUAGAAACAUGAUAGAGCUAUCUACAAGACGACAAACAGUUGAUACAGGUGAUGAAAAACUAUAGGUUCCAUAAAAAUUGAAACAAAUCUUAUAUGAAUAAGAGAAGUGUCUACAUGAGAGGCUGGCUCAUAGGAGGAAGGGAUGCAGAAGGAAAGCAAUCCAGAUGACACAGAAACCUGAAACCCCUGCAUGCAGACAGCUCAACAUACUGGCUGAAGAAAAAAAAAAAAAAAAAACAGAUCAUUCCUCAGCCGGGCAGGCUGGAAAAGCUUCAGUUUACCUUCUGAUU